UUCGCCUCCCCCACCUUAAACCGGGCGCGAAUCCCCUGCAGUGAAUUGUGGUGCGGUCUCUUGCGGUGCGGCCUUAAAGGCGCGUUUGGCUUGAAAUCAAAACAGAUUAAGUCAAAUAGUGUUAACCCCAGUUACAUGUAUUUAAUACUGUAUACCCGGGUCAACCCCAGCUGUAUUGUACUACAUACUCUAAGUUAAAAUAUAUACUAUAAUAAACCUCCGAAUUCUCUCACACGCUAUUCUGCAGCACCAAAGUACCAGAAACAAAAUUUUGAUUAGGGUUUCAUCUUCAAAGAUCUUUGUGAGUUAGGGUUUCUUAAGCCAAGAAGAUGUUGUCUAGAUAUGCUUCAAGAGAAUAAUAUCAACUCUCACUCCAAACCCUAACUCUAACUCGAUAGCAGGAGAUCUAAAAAACAAUUACAAAUCAAGCCCUGAAUCCCUCGAAGCGGAGUGAAUAAAAAAAGCUUGGGCAUAUUGUUUGGCAAAACUUGAGGCGGCUUUGCAUGGUGUUCAUAAGAUGGUACUGUGAUUAUUUGGAAUAUCUGAAGGGAGAGAAAUCUUAGAUUACAUGAGGAUCAAACAAGGUCUGCUAGCUACUGAUGCAUAUUUGGAAGCACUACUCUGUAUGGGGCUUGAGGAUAUGAAGUUGCUUUGAAUUUCUUAAUUCUGUUGUAUUUAUCCUUUUGGUUAGUUUUUUAAAAAUAUUGGUAGUUUAUGUUUUGUAAAAUUUUUCUUAGCUCUGUUUUCUGGUCUAUUUUUUUUGUAUCAAUAAAACCCACCAGAUUCAAGGGGAAAAAAAAAGGUAGAAUUUUGUAUAUUGUCCAAA